UUAAUAUUACUUAAUUUUUUAUUUGUUUUAUAAUAUUUUAACAUGUAAAAAAUUUGAUAUUGGUUUUGAAAAAUAAAGUGAAAAUUUAGGAACAUAAUUUUUUUGAGAGCUUGUGUUGUACUAAAAAAUUUUAUAUAAAUUUUGACAAAAGAUUUUAAUUAUUUUUAUCAAGCUUAUAGUAUGCCAGCAGCUGCGGUUAUAUACUUUGAUGUUUUUAUGUGAGAUAAAUUAAUUAAUAUAAUUUACGGCAGGACAGGUUUGUAAGUAAAAUUAUUCUUCUUAUAGGAGAUUUUUAAAUAGUUUUUUUUAUAAAAAUCAUAAAAACCAAGAUUAGAUACCUUGUUAUUUUUUUGUAAUAGCCAAAGGAGUGAGGUUUAAAUAUUUAAAAUUUAAAAAAUUUGGCGGCAUUUGGUUUAUCAGAGGGAGCUGUCUGCUAAAAGAAAGUACGCGCAAGAAUUUACUUUGCUUAUUUGAAUUUAUAUAUCGUCGUCGAUAUAUUGCUUUUGGCUUCACUAAAUAAAGAAUUAACUUUAAUUUUCAGAUCUACAUAUAGUUUAUAGCAAAGGUCAGAUUGGUUACAAUUUCUUUUUUGUUAAUUUAAGUAGGAUAUUUAAAAAUAAUUGGAUUUGAAAGUAAAAAUACAUAUAUUUUUAUUUUGAAUAUUUUUUCCGGGUGUGCACAUAUCGCCCGUCACUUUUUCCCUUAGGAAAAAAAAGUCGUAACAAAGUGGGCUAAUCGGAAGAUUAGCCUU